rnacentral:misc_RNA from 1 species
UUAAGUUCAGCGGGUAGUCCUACUCGAUUUGAGGUCAAGUUGUCAAAUAUUGUCCAAAGACAGUGUAGUUUGAAGCACAGAGCUCCCGAUCGCACACCCUCUCUCUUGCGAGUGAGGAGCCAGCGAAGAUACUUAUCACGCUGUUCUAUGUCCAACCAAGAGUUGCACUACUCCAUUUAAGAUGAGCCACAGUAACGCAG